rnacentral:snRNA from 20 species
UGUCCAGUGCACGGGCUUUAUCUGCGCGCGUGAGGCUACAGCCGAUGCCAGAUUUUUGCUAGUGUAAGUACAACCGCCCAGUUCUCCCGUCGCGCGGACUCCCCUUCCAGGAUGGAAAAGUUUGUGCUCCCUGACUGACUGACGGGCUGACUUGGCUGAUCCAGUGAAAACUAUACAACUGACCACUCCUUGUGGACUUCGGUUCGCUUGGGAAUCUUUGAACACCACAACACCUGCGUUUUGCUUUUUCAUCAUCUUCUGCGCUUGAAGCGG